rnacentral:rRNA from 1 species
GCUACCAUGCAGUCGACGCUAUUUAUAGAGUGGCGCACGGGUGAGUAACGCGUGGGAACCUGCCUUUUUCUGCGGGAUAACGGUUGGAAACGACCGCUAAUACCGCAUACGCCCUAAGGGGGAAAGGUCCGCCGGAAAAAGAGGGGCCCGCGUCUGAUUAGCUUGUUGGUGGGGUAAUGGCCUACCAAGGCGACGAUCAGUAGCUGGUCUGAGAGGAUGAUCAGCCACACUGGGACUGAGACACGGCCCAGACUCCUACGGGAGGCAGCAGUGGGGAAUAUUGGACAAUGGGGGCAACCCUGAUCCAGCAAUGCCGCGUGUGUGAUGAAGGCCUUAGGGUUGUAAAGCACUUUCACUGGUGAAGAUGAUGACGGUAACCAGAGAAGAAGCCCCGGCUAACUUCGUGCCAGCCGCGGGGU